UACGGGGGGGGCAAGCGUUGUUCGGAAUUACUGGGCGUAAAGGGCCAGUAGGCGGCCAACUAAGUCGGAUGUGAAAUCCCCAGGCUUAACCUGGGAACUGCAUCCGAUACUGGAUGGCUUGAAUUCGGGAGAGGGAUGCAGAAUUCCAGGUGUAGCGGUGAAAUGCGUAGAUAUCUGGAGGAAUACCGGUGGCGAAGGCAGCCCCCUGGGAUAACACUGACGCUCAUGCACGAAAGCGUGGGGAGCAAACAGG
rnacentral:rRNA from 1 species